GCCGAGCCACCGCCUCUUUAUGUGUCUGUAUGUCAGAGCUUCCCAAAGACCCGGGCAUUCCCCAUCGAGAAGUCACCGCAGGCCUGAAUGGAAUUGUAUGAUGGCAUCGCAGAGUGCUUUGGAUUGGAAGGGACCUCGAUGAUCAUCCAGUCCGAUCCCCCUGCCAUGGGCACCUUCCACUAGAUCAGGUUGCUCAAGGCCCCAUCCAACCUGGCCUUGAACACUUCCAGGGAUGGAGCAGCCACAAUUUCUCUGGGUGUUCCAGUGUCUCACCCUCCUCACAGUAAAUAAUCUCAUCUUAAUAUCUCAUCUAAACAUCCUUCCAGUUUAAAGCCGUUGCCCGUUGUCAGUUGCCCCUUGUAUAUUUCCCCUUGUCAAUUGCCCCUUGUAUAUUGCCCCUUGUCCGUUACCAUAUGCCCUUGUGAAAAAUCUCUUUCCAGCUUUCUCGUGUAUGCCAAAAGUCAGCUAGCAAGAGAAGAGAGAGAAUAUCUAUCUAUUCUUUAUUUUUAUUUAGUCUAAAUUUAAAUGGUAAAACUUUCUACUUUAGCUAGGACUGGCUAAAGCAGUUUGUUUUUAUUUAGAGCAGCCUAAGCUAGCUGGUUUGUAGAUGGUAAAUUCCUGUGUCUUUUGGGGAAUGGUUGUUAAAACAAAGAAUAAGGGAGACGGGCACCAUCUGCACAGAGCAGGGUAGCAGCGAAGGAGACAUCAGGAUGAUGAGUGAACUGCGGUGUCUUGCUUUCCCUGCAGAUUGAAGAUAGGCAGGCCGAGAUGAGCAGGAGGAAUGUGCCUCAGAGGUAAAGAUGAGGAACAUGCUCUUGGAAAGAGGGUGACUGCACCUGAAGGCACUGCUCAGAAGAGGAAGGUGUAUGCUAAUGAGCGAGUCUGAGGAAUGAUCUCCAUGUGCUGCUGCCUCCAGAUGUGGCGUGGCAGCAGGGCUGGGCUGCCUCAGCUGCUUGCUGACAACUCAAAGAAGAAAGCCUGACUGUCCCUGCUUCCCUUCUUCACCCUCUCACUUCUAGUGAUGGGCUCUAGCCACAGGGUGAGUAAUGAAUUCACUCCACUGGCUUCCCUUUUUCACCUUUACCUUUUUCUGCCAGAGGUGAUUUUUCUGUAAUGUUGCUGAGCUGAGUCAGCUGGCUCAGCUGUAGUGAGCAGCCAGGAGGAGAUGACAGGGGAGUUUUACAUCUCGUGGUGAGAUGUUGUCUUGGCUGGUGGUGUAUUCCACAUGGGAAUCUCUGGAGUCCAGGAGUGCACUCUGCAGACAGUGCUGGGCUCCUCUGCCUGUGUGACACUUCAGCCAGAAUCAAGCCAGCUCUGUUGGAGAACUGUGUGAGCUCACACACACUGCCCCUUAAGGAAAAUUUCCUGCUUAUCUUUAAAUCAUUCACUGUUGCACAAGGCUGAAUGGCAAUAUUGCUUUUUGAGGUCUGGUUACAUGUUUAGAGUGAACAUAUACCAAAUGAAAUGCAGGAUCAAGCUAAGGAAUAGUUGGCACUUUUCUGUGAUUUUAUCAUAAUUAAAGCAAUAUAGCAAUCACAGAUCCAGGGCCAAAAAUCAUGCUCCAGUUCAUGAUUGGCAUCAAUGUAUUUAUUUGUAACUGUUAUAUUUAUUUAUUAGCUUCUUUGUUGCACAGUGUGCUAGAAUUAUUACAUAAGUUACCAGAAGAAAUGUAAGCCAGUGUUUGAGUGUGAUUGUUUUUUAUAUUGUAUAGCAUAGAAUCAUGGAAUGGCCUGGGUUGGAAGGGACCUUGAAGAUCAUCCAGUUCCAACUCCCUUGCCAUGGGCAGGGGCUCAUUCUGCUAUCCCAGGCUGCUCAGAGCUCCAUCCAACCUGGCUUUAGACAUUUCCAGGGAUGGGGCAGCCACAGCUGCUCUGGGCAGCCUGUGCCAGGGCCUCCCCACUCACACAGCAAGGAAUCUCCCCCUAAAUCUGAUAUAAAGCUGCUCUUUUUCAUUGUAAAGCUCCCCCUUGUUCUGUCACUGCAUGCCCUUGUAAAGUCCCUCUCCACUGCUCUGGCAGGCUCCUUGCAGGCACUGGAGGGCCACAGCUGGGUGACCCCAAAGCCUUCUCCUCUCCAGGCUGAGCAACCCCAAUCCCCUCAGCCUGUCCUGCUGUGAGAGGUGCUCCAUCCCUGUAAUCCUGGUGCUGUGCUCUGGGCUCCCUGCAGCAGCUCCCUGUCCUUGCUGUGCUGCAUGCAGAGCUCCAGGUGGGAUACCCUGAGCAGAGCAGAGGGGCAGGAUCCCCUCUAACCCUGGUGGGCUCCCUGCAGCAGCUCCCUGUCCUUGCUGUGCUGGGUGCAGAGCUCCAGGUGGGAUACCCUGAGCAGAGCAGAGGGGCAGGAUCCCCUCUAACCCUGGUGGGCUCCCUGCAGCAGCUCCCUGUCCUUGCUGUGCUGCAUGCAGAGCUCCAGGUGGGAUACUCUGAGCAGAGCAGAGGGGCAGGAUCCCCUCCCCAGCUGCUCUCAGGUUGCUCUGGGUGCAGCCCAGGCUGGCAUUGGCUUUCUGGGCUCCAGCUGCACACUGCUGGCCCCUGUCCAGCCUCUCACCCACCUGCACCCCAAGUCCUUCUCCCCAGGGCUGCUCUGGAUCUGCUCAUCCCCAGCCUGGACUGGUACCAGGGGCUGCCCUGGCCCAGGUGCAGCACCAGCCCUGGCCUUGUUAAACUACAGGAGAUUUCCAUGGGCCACCUCUUGAGCUUGCCCAGGUCCCUCUGGAUGGCAGCCUGUCCUUGAGGAGUGUCAUCUGGACCACUGAAGGAUGGGAUGUACAAGACUGUCUGUCACCAUUAGGUCAGACGUGACACACACAUGUGAUCAAGGUCCAAGAUAAAAAGUUUUUAUUUGUGUUCUCCAGCUUAUAUACUCUUAACAAAACAUGAUCUUAAGUCGUUAACUAUAUCUCAAUAACUUAUUAUAUUCAUUGGUGCAAAGCAAUUAAUGUCAAUAUAAUUGGCAAAAGUUCUAGAGAAAUUUAAUAAGACAUGUAUAAACAUCUACUUAUGCAUGUAGUCUAGCUUACAAAAAUUUCCAUGUUUUUUUUCUAAUCUGUUUCCAUGCUGACAGCCUUGUCUUCUUCCUUGCUGUGGAUACACUGGAAAAUCAUCAAUUGUUAUUUCUUCCAUUAACUCAGCUUUGCUUGCAGGCCAGCUGUCAAGCCCCUCCAUACCUGGCUCUGCAGAAGAACAUCGUGGUAUGGUACAGCUUUAAUGGUGUCAUGAGUGUCAGAGCACCAGGCUGGCAGCACAAGGUGCCUGUGCUUUUGACUUCCUUUUCACUGCAGGUACAACAAACCUGACUCUGCUAUUUUUCCAAUGUCUCUCUAUCCCCAGUGCCUCCUUUCACAGACAGCAUUGCUCCUGUACUUUGCAUUUCCAUAACAGAUGAUGCCUGGUUUUGGUAUUGUUCUGGCUCUUCCGUUGCGUUUCUGUGCCAAAAUAUUUUUUCUCUUCCUUUAAGAGGCUUUCAGCUAAACCUGUAAACUGGGCUUUGCAGCAAAAUUCUUAUUGUGCUUUAGGGCAAUUUUUGGUGGACUGAAGAGAAUCAUGGAAGAAUAGUCAGAUGCACAUGCUGGAUCAGCAGCUUCACCUGUUGUUGAUGGAAGAAAUUAGUUAAGGGCAGAACGUGCAAUUAAUGGUGCAAGUCUGAGAUUACAGCUUGGUUGUUGCAAGUGGACAAAAAGGAUUGUAUUUCAGCACAUAAUAGUAUUUUAUUUUAGAACUAUCACAGUAUCAUAAAUAGUUUGCUAACAUACACAAACACCUUGGUGCUUAGCUUUCAGUGGCUAACGAUGUGUCAACAAAAGAUUUAGAAAUAAAUGUAAUGAAUAGCCUUGUGCUGAGAGAAUGAAUCUUCACAAUUGUUUGGAAACAGUGUUUUGGAGACUUGAGGACAUUCUUUUUCAAAAACUAAUGUUUCAAAGAUAAAACAAUCAAGCGACUUGAAUGUAUCUAAUCAGAUGAAGUUUGAAGAAGUUCAGGCCAAAGCUGAAUUGGGUCUGAUGUAUCAACACAUUGUGAAAAGUGCCCAAAAUGAGAUUUCUGCAGCACAUGUUUCUGUUGAGCACUGUUGGACAGCUACACAUGCUGGAUGCAGCACCUUUGUGCAGGCUGUGGCUGCUGCCAGCCUGUGGUAUCCUACAGGAGCAGGAAUGAAUGAGUAGAUCAGAUAGGCAGUAAUAACAUGAGUUUUGGUUAGGCUUGUUAUUAAUCACUGGCUGCGUUGUUUGUUGUUGUAAUUGGGAUUCUGACCAAAGCAGAAAAUUGCAGUUGCUUUAACAGAUUAGAUUUUGCAUUUAAUUUGGCAUGUGGUCUCUUUAAACAUGAAGCUAGGCAUUAAGAUAUGUGUGAAUAGGGAAGAGAGUGCUGCCUUUCAAAGAUCACACUCUGUCUUGGAACCUCACAGCAAAUGCCCUCCUUUGAAUUUCUUCACUUACAUUGCUCUGUGCAUUUAUUUGAAAACUUGAGUAUGUGUACAAACAAAUUAAGCAAAAUCUUCAGAAUUCAUUUUAUUGAGCUAAAGUUGGUCUAUGAAAGCUUGACUUCUAACAUGACAAAAGAUGAUGGAGAGCUGGUGCAAAGCUCAUUGCAGCAAUGAGGAGAAGAUCUUAUUUCCUUCUUUUUCCCAAUCCUCCUCCUGGUCAUGUGCUUCCACUCCUUCCAAGGUGUCACCACUGCACUUGUGUUGCCUCAAAUCACCCAGUCCUGAGAAAGCUGUCUAUGUUUUCACUGGAUGAUUUAUGAAAGGAUCCAGUAAGGACCAGAACAGGUAUAAGCUGCCCUCCUGCCUCUCUGAGGAAUUCCACACACACUGCAUCAUGUGUGCCUCCACUUCAGAUUGAAAUUGCCAUUGCCACAUGAGGAACUCCUGCUUCCAGCCUUGCUUUUGUUCUGCUCCUCACUGGGGGGAUCUCACUUACUUCACUACCCCUAGGAAAGGGGUAUUUUUUGGUGAUACCAUCGUGUUAAAUCUGCUCACCCAAGGCCUGACAAAAGUCAUGGAAGAUGGAAGGGUUAACACCUGGUUAAGUCUUGAAGAGUUCAUCUUCAGUGCCUGCAGUUCAUGAACCUCAGAUGCUCAGCUAAACUAGAGCAGUGGAGCAGGAAGAUUUUGUCCAGAGCAGAAACUGCCAGUGUUAAAGAAAACAAACCAUAGCCCUUUUUCUCUAGCAAUAAGUUCUCUAUGGCAUGAGAAAUCAUCUAAGAACCAUCUAAAAUGGUUUGGGUUGGAAGGGAACUUCAAAGGUAAUCUAAUUCCAACCCCCUGCCAUGGGCAGGAGCAUCUUCAUGGAUGGAGCCCCAUAUAAACUGGGAUGGAUCCUAAACUUCUCUGGGCAACCUGUGCCAAUGUUUCACCAUCCUCAUGGUAAAAAACCCUUCCUUAUAUGUAGUCUAAAUUCCUUUCAGUUUAAAACCAUUACCACUUAGCCUGUCACAACAGGCCCUGCUAAUAAGUUUGUCUCCAUUUUCCUCUAAGCCCCCUUUAGGUGCUUUCAGAAGAGUUGUUACCAACUCAAUUUAAAAGAAAUCAAAAGGGUUGUCAGAGUUUUUUUUCAUUUUUUAAUCAUGGGCUAAAUUAGCAUUUUCUCUUUUGCUGUGCUUAGUUUAUAUAAACAUUUAUCUGGAAAUUGUUUUACAAAAUAAUAUAGAGACUAGCAGAGUUUAAAAUAUUGCUACCCAUCACCCAAAAUAUGACAGCACUUGAAAUCAAAGUUAGAAUUAAAUAUAGCCAGUGACAAGUGCAUUCAAAAUGUUCUGACAGACAAGUAGAAGGAAACAUGUUCAUAAGAUUAAGUAAUUGUUUAUACAGUUCAGAAAUUACUGGAAAUAGUCAAAAAUAGCUAAAUAAAGAGCAGGUUAUUUGAGAAGAUCUGCUUAAGAUUUUUGAGAGGAAAACACGUACAAGUUCUUUGUUGUGGAAAUGAUAGUGAUAAAUUUGUAGUGACAGGAAUUAAUUGAAAGGUGUUUACAGUAUGGAAAGGCCGUGCUUGAAGUGUUUGAAAAUGGCUUUUAAACCCAGAAUUUCCUUCCUGUUCUCUAUACCACAUGGAACAAGCAAGGAUAGCAGCCGUAAAAGUUCUGUUGGCAGGAGAGACUGUGGAUAGAAAAGUUUGGUUUGUUGCUUGUUUUUGGUUUUUUUUAUUACUUUGAUGGUUUAUUUAAAGCUAGAAAUAGUGUUGCUAAGCUGCAGGUAAUAAAUUAAUCUUAUUCACAGCUGAUAAUCUGAGGAAUGAUAAGGAAUUUUGCUACGCUUUUCAGAUUUCCAAUAUAACUUUCAAGGGCAGAUCAGACUGAAACAUUCCAGUUAAUAGAAGUGGGCAUCAUUAUAACAAUAGAAUACUCUGAACUGGGUUUGGCAACAGCAUUGUGGUAAAGAAUUUGGCAGAGCAUUAUACUUUUUAUUACCUGAAGUGAUCAGUUAUCUCAUUUUCUUGCUCUAAUCCCAGUUCAGCUGCAGCCAAUAAAAACCUUGAGAGGACCAGAAUCAAAUGUUUCAGAGCUCACUUUUUCAUCAGCUGUGGUGAGGAAAUGCACUUCUACGUUGUACUUUGGUUCUGCUGUUUCAAUGAAUUCACAAAAAUCCCAACAACCCCCUGCCCUAUAAAUGCAUAAUUGAUAGAACAUAGAGCAGGCUUUAUAAUUGCAGCAGUAAACAGGUUCAGUGAUUUAUUUUUCAACUGACACAGCCAGAGAUCACUUUCCUGACCCUUAUAAUUUGCCCUAAUUAAUGAACUGUCUUGUUUUCUAAAAUGUUGCAUGCUGUAAUCUUCUGUGAUGCUGAAAAGGUUGUUCUGGAAAAUUGUUCAAGGCAAUGGCUAACAGCACUUAUAGUGACACGUUUAAAACAGAAUAUUUGUGUUUACCAGUGUUUUGUUUAGACAGUUCUGUUUCCAACAGUCAUAGUAGAUCUCUGUUAAAUCACUUAAAAUCCACUGUCUUUCCUAAAGGUCCUGGAAAGAAACACCAAAAUCAAAACUCUGACAGUUUAAAUCUCUAUACAAGUUAACUUGCUGCUGCUUUGCUCCUCAAAAAUCUUCCUCCUUCUCUUCCUACUUAAUCACAAAAUGCUUUGGAUUGGGAAAGGCCUUAAAGAUCAUCGAGUUCCAGACAGCCUGCCAUGGGCAGGGGCACCUUCCACAGGACCAGGUUGCUCCAAGCCCCAUCCAACCUGGCCUGGAACUUUUCCAGGGAUCCAGGGGCAGCCUGUGCAGCACCACCCUCACAGUAAAGGAAUUUUUCCCAAUAUCCAAUCUAAGCCUGGUCUCUGUCAGGGUCAUUUGCUGCUUUAUGUAUUCUAAUAGCAACUCCAUUUUCAAAAGAAGCUACAUGUAAAAUUUGCAAGCGUGGCAAAAUAAAUGAAUUUGAAUUUUAAUCUAAAUUCAUAACUCCCUAUAGUCUGUCUCUUGUUGAUUUUGCCUCUGUUAACCCUGUUGAAUUAUGAUUUCUAAAGAGACACCAGAUACAAGGUAAGAGGGGGCCACGAGUCAGUGCAUGAAAGAAGGAAAACAAACUCAACCCAGACAAGUGGCAUUCAAAGGAAUUCUGUCCCUCUACAAGGAGAGGUAAGUUUACACUGUAUUCAACUAAAUUUUAAACUUUGUUCCUUCUUUGCAGAAGGCAGGAUGUGUCUCCCAAAUUAUCAUGCCGUGUGCAACCAGUGUUUGAAUGUCAGUCCUGCACAUUCCCGGGGUCUAAGGUGCAGACUCCUUGAGUAAAUUUGAGUGUUUUACUCUACUGAAAGGGCAUUUUACUGCCCAGAGCACUACACCAUUGAUGUUUAACAGUUACACCCUCUUAAGUUUUUUUUAUUAAUUAUGAAGGAUGAGAUUUUUCUUGCAUUUGAUGGAAUCAGCUGCAAAUAAUUUGUAGGAACAGUAGAAAAAUCAAAUGUCCAGUGAUUUAAUGGGAUUCUGUAUGAUUUCUGUAGUGUGUUUAAAAUUUGCCUUUGCCAGAUGUCUGUAGCAACAUUACAGAAUCUCUGAAUGGUCACAAGCCCUGUGAAAUCCCUUUCCUUUGCAGUGCUCCUGUCAGUUCCGUAAUUUAGUAAUUUUUGAGUCCCAGGAAAAAUUUAGGUAAAAGUGUGCCCUAGAGCUCAAAAUGCACAUUAAAAAAAUUGAAAAAUUGUUAGGUAAUUGAAAGGGAAAUAUGGGAGAAUGUUUUUGCAAGCUUAUGAUUGCAUAGCUUGUCAUCACCUUGUAUUUUGAUAAUCAACAGUGACCUCACACAAUUCAUUUAUUUCAGUCUUACAGAACUUCAAGAGCUUCCAAAUGCUUUCACAAGCAGGGCAAAAGUGAAUUGAAACAUCCCAACAUGGGGAUUCCCCCAUCUCUCAACAAAAAAAUGGAGGUGGAGAGAGAUUUGUGACUCACCAAAAGCCAAAUUGGAUGGUGAAGCUUUGUGAACAGGAACACCAAUGGCACUGCUACCAACUGCAUUGUACUUGUUUUUCCAAGGGCAAGACUUCAUUGUGCAGCACUGUCAGUGUGCCCCCUUUACAUCCCAAGAUUUGAAGUGUUUCCAUCAUUACAAAGACAUUUACAGAUUGAAAAUCUCAAAUUUCUGCAUCUCGCUCAACAACACAGUAGCUUCCAAUAUGUUAAAAAAAUAAGAUUCAGUGAAAUAUUUCAUAUUCAUUUCAACCCUUAAUCCUUUAACUUAUAAAGUGGAUUGUAGGCAGCAAAUUGAAAUAGAAUUUGCUGUUGUCAGCAUUGACUCAAUGAGGGGGGAAAAAAGAAGAUGUAAAAUUCACAGUGGCUACAGCUGUAGAUACAGAAAGUGUCUUGACACAGAGAACCAAUAACUCCCAGGAGUUCUUGACUCUUGAUUUUUGAGCUAAUAUGAUGUUUCAUUCUACUUAAAGGAAUCAUUUUGUCAUCCCUUUAGUGGCAGACACAUUUAUUAAAGUGCUUCUGGGGGUAGAUUGGGCUUUGGUUUGAAAGUUAAGUGUUUCUCUCUACAUUUCAGCCUUUAAACCAUGAAAGAAACAUUAGCUGUGAAACCUGAGUAUCUUUUCAAAAAGGGACAAAUCUCUGGCUUUUUGCUCAACAUUCACUGGCCCACAGUAUUCUAUUUCCUCUCUUUGACCUGUUCAACAUCAAAACAAUUUGAUGGAAGUGUGCUUUGCCGGAAUUGGCAGUGUGCUUCCUUUUGAUGCAAAAUUAUCACACAAAAAUACAACCAAUUAAGUUGUGUGACCAGCAAUGUCUAAACCAAACCAGCGUAAUCCACUAGCAGUACUAUAAAUAUAUCUAUAUAUAUGUAUAUUUGACAGAUCAAGCCAUGAAAUAAUUUUUGCACUCAAGUCCAUUACAAGAAUGAAUAGAAAAUUCACCCAGCAAAGAAGUGAAUAUGUCAAACAACAAAGCAGACUUCCUAUGGUGGUUUAAAAUAUUAAGUCACAAAAAAUAGCUAGUGUCAAUAUGAGCAAUUAAAAUACUGUUCUUUCUGAAGAAAAAGAAGAUGAAACUAUUAAUGAAGAAUCAUUAGUUUGAUGAGAUGGCUCAUAAGGAAGAGGGCAGCAGUGCAAGACUUGCUCUUUCUGCAUUCUCUCCUCUUGGCACAUUGCCUUUGUGCAAAGAACAGUCCUGCAGCCUUUGUGCCAGGUGCCCUCUUUUCCCAAACGGGAACUUCACUGCUCCCUCGUCGUCCAGAAGAUCUUUCACAUUUCUGUAAAUCAUCUUGCAAUAUGCAAGGAAAGUGCGCACUUUUCUCAAAAGCAUGUUAUGUUCCAGCAACCUGCCCCGAGCCCAGCAGCAGGUUAUCGGCUGUGAAUGCUUCAAAAUCAAAUCUGUUGUUCAGAAGAUGUCGUCCAAUGAAUAAAUUGGCCUCCCUUGCAGAUGUGAACACUAAUGAAGAAAACAAAAAAAAAGU